AUACGAGGGGUGCUAGCGUUGUCCGGAAUCAUUGGGCGUAAAGGGUCCGUAGGCGGUUUAACAAGUCAAUUGUUAAAGACAUCGGCUUAACCGAUGGAGUGCAGUUGAAACUGUUAGAAUAGAGUUUAGGAGAGGAAAGUGGAAUUUCUGGUGUAGCGGUGACAUGCGUAGAUAUCAGAAGGAACACCAAUGGCGAAGGCAACUUUCUGGCCUAAAACUGACGCUGAGGGACGAAAGCGUGGGGAGCGAACAGGAUUAGAUACCCUGGUAGUCCACGCCGUAAACGAUGGAUACUAGCUGUUCGACCAACAUUGGUUGGUUGAGUGGCUAAGCGAAAGUGAUAAGUAUCCCACCUGGGGAGUACGCUCGCAAGAGUGAAACUCAAAUGAAUUGACGGGGACCCGCACAAGCGGUGGAGCAUGUGGUUUAAUUCGAUGCAACGCGAAAAACCUUACCUAUACUUGACAUACUUGGAAUGCUUUGUAAUGAAGCAGUGCCUUCGGGAGCC
rnacentral:rRNA from 1 species